UAGGAACAUGCCUUAAAGUGGGGGGACAACUUGGGGAAACUCAAGCUAAUACCGCAUAAUCUCCGAGGAGAGAAGCUGGGGACCUUCGGGCCUGGCGCUUUAAGAUUAGCCUGCGUACGAUUAGCUAGUUGGUAGGGUAAAGGCCUACCAAGGCGACGAUCGUUAUCUGGUCUGAGAGGAUGAUCAGCCACACUGGAACUGAGACACGGCCCAGACUCCUAUGGGAGGCAG
rnacentral:rRNA from 1 species